rnacentral:tRNA from 1 species
GCCCGGGUGGCGGAAUUGGUAGACGCGUUGGUCUCAAACACCAAUGUCGCAAGACGUGUCGGUUCGAGCCCGACCCCGGGUA